UACGGGGGGAGCAAGCGUUGUUCGGAUUUACUGGGCGUAAAGGGCGCGUAGGCGGCCACCGCAAGUCAGUUGUGAAAUCUCUGGGCUUAACCCAGAACGGUCAGCUGAUACUGCGGGGCUAGAGUGCAGAAGGGGCAACUGGAAUUCUCGGUGUAGCGGUGAAAUGCGUAGAUAUCGAGAGGAACACCUGCGGCGCAGGCGGGUUGCUGGGCUGACACUGACGCUGACAGCGCGAAAGCUAGGGGAGCGAACGGG
rnacentral:rRNA from 1 species